CAAAAAUUUCAUAUGUUAUAUUCUAAAAUAAGACUUAUGUUUUUCACAGCCUGCACAAAAUAAUCAAGCCUACACAUUUAUUCUCUUCUCACAUUGUAAUUGUUCUGCAAUAAUUAGUUAAUCCCCUUGAUUGAUGUAAAGAAGAAGUAUCGUAAAAAGUUGGUUACCUUCUCUAUGUAUUUUAUAUUAUUAUCAUUAUCGACUUAUGAUUU
rnacentral:lncRNA from 1 species